rnacentral:rRNA from 1 species
UAAGGAAUAUUGGUCAAUGGACGCAAGUCUGAACCAGCCAUGCCGCGUGAAGGAUUAAGGCCCUCUGGGUUGUAAACUUCUGUUAUAGGGGAAGAAAUGUGACGGUUCUCCGUCACUUGACGGUACCCUGGGAAGAAGCACCGGCUAACUCCGUGCCAGCAGCCGCGGUAAUACGGAGGGGGCAAGCGUUAUCCGGAUUCACUGGGUUUAAAGGGUGCGUAGGUGGGCAGAUAAGUCAGUGGUGAAAUCUUCCGGCUUAACCGGGAACCUGCCGUUGAUACUAUUUGUCUUGAAUAUUGCGGAGGUAAGCGGAAUAUGUCAUGUAGCGGUGAAAUGCUUAGAUAUGACAUAGAACACCAAUUGCGAAGGCAGCUUACUACCCAAUCAUUGACACUGAGGCCCGAA